rnacentral:rRNA from 1 species
GACGUAGGGCGCGAGCGUUGUCCGGAUUUAUUGGGCGUAAAGAGCUCGUAGGCGGCUUGUCGCGUCGUUCGUGAAAACCCGGGGCUCAACUCCGGGCUUGCGGGCGAUACGGGCAGGCUAGAGUUCGGUAGGGGAGACUGGAAUUCCUGGUGUAGCGGUGAAAUGCGCAGAUAUCAGGAGGAACACCGGUGGCGAAGGCGGGUCUCUGGGCCGAUACUGACGCUGAGACGCGAAAGCGUGGGGAGCAAACAGG